ensembl:lncRNA
CAGAAACAUCAGAUUUGGAAACUCUCACUUCAAAGUGUUCCUCUGUGGACCCACAGACAUUUGAUGUGAUCGAUCAAUGAGAUUUUGGACAUGUUAAUCCUGAGCAGCAUUUGGACAGCAGCUCUUCAACCGUAAAGCAGCACUGUGAACGGCCGACAGAGAUUUGAAUCUAAGAACAGAGACCCAGAAGACACAGACCGCACAAAAAAGGAGGUGGA